GGGGUAGUACCACGAGAAUGGAGACUCAGUUUAAUUUAACGGCUUCAAAUUGCUGAAGAUGCAGCCUGAGGUCUGGUGAACCUUAUUCAGAGAACACUUCACGGAUGCGGUUGGGAGUCCAUUCUCCAUUUCAGCUGAAGUUCUGACCAAGGAUUACGAUCCAUAACCACUUAUUUGGAGCACGGGUGCGAUGAUUUGAAUGCUACUCUGGCUCCAGCUUUGGUUUGUGAGAAACGUAAGAAGAAAUCUUUGAGUGCGGUUUGGGAGGGUACACUUGAUUAAUCAUCAGAUCUUAGG